AACGAGCAAUUUGGUAAAAUAAAUUUGUCGGUUUCUUAUAUGGUUGCGACAUAUAAGUGAUAACAAGAAAAACAGUGUUCGGGGAGAUAACUCUUACAUGGAAAAGAUUUUUGUUACGCGGUGUCAGUUUCAAAAGCGUAUUAACUCUUCGAUAUCAUAUACAAAAUAUCUAAGUGACAUCUUGUGAAACAAAAAGUUAGCGAAGCAAAAAAAAUUAGGCGGAAGAAAAAAAAUAAUAAUUAAACUGUCAAUUGUUCUUGAACAAUUGAGAGGUCUUUCCUUUUGUAAUGUAAAAUACACGUUCCAACAGACGUAGAAUGUAUUGAAAAGGUCAAGGUCAACCUUAAAAAGCUCCAAAACACACUAAAAAUGCUUUAUAUAAGGUUAAAAACACUAAAUUCGCUAUCUGGGACAUGACCUUGACCUUUGACCUUUUGACCUUUGUCAAGGUCAUUACUCUCCAAUGCCAUUACUGAAGACCCCAAGGGUCUAGGACCUUUGGUUAUAUAGUAAAAGCUGAUUUUGUCUUUUCAGAAACCUAAAACAGGGGUUAUGCCCCUUAUAGAAAGGUCAAAUCUCUUUGGUCAAAAUGUAACAAAGUUGCGCCAUAAUGACUCAAAUAUUUUCCACUAUGUAAAACUUCUGUAAGUAUAAUGGUUUCUGAGAUUAUCCCAUAACAAGGUGUUAGGUCAAAGGUCAAGGUCAACAUACAAAUUUGACCUUGAGGUUUUUUUCAAAGAUACAUGAAUUGAUGAUGAUUGGUGAAGAUCCUAGGUCUCUACGACUUACGGUUUCUGAGUUUUGGUGGUCCACCGACACCGGUUAAUUUUCAUAGGGGCAUAACUCUACCAAUGAGUCGUUGAAUCUUUUCGAUCCAAAUGUAACGAAGAACCGACCUCUGGUCCUGAACAAAUUUCAGCCUUUGUUUUUUUUCUACCUAUUAUGGUUACGGUGUUGGAACGAUAACAAGGUUUUUUGGUUUCGGAGGGAUUACUCCGAACCGACAAAAUAUUUCGACUAAUAGGGUGAGUUCUGGAUAGAUAUUCAUGACACCGAUACAAAGUGUGAACAAGAAAGCGACACGUCUUACGGUUACGGAGGCUUAAUGCGUCAAAGUUUGGCGGAAGAAUAAUAAUAAUAAUUAAAAAAUGGAAGGUCUUUCCAUCAAAACAAUGUAUUUUGAUAUGAAAAGUUGUGAAACUAAGUUUAAAAUGUCAUUUCAAUCGUCAAAUGAUAGCUCCUAGUUAAGCUGAUUCCAAAAAAUAUAUGUUUCCAUACAUUUUUUUAAAUAAGGGAGAUAAUUUUUACUUCCGGUUUGAAAAAUGUUACUUCCGAUUAUAUUUGAAUAUUUACUUGACACUGAUUCCAAAAAUAUCUGGUUCUAUAGACUUUUAUAUUAAUAAAGUACAAAAAAUAGCUACUUCCGGUUUACAAAAAGUCACUUCCGGUUGGUUUUUUUCAAGGUUAAAUGGUUUGAGACCUUUUUCUAAAAGUUGUAUAUCUUUAUCAUGUAUACAUAUAGAAUAAAAGCAAAGGUCAAAAUCUAGAACGUCAAAUUAAGCUAUGACCUUGAGAUCAAUUUCAAGGUCAUAAACAAGGACCUCAAAUCAAAAGACCAUAGGUCUUAAUUAUAUUUAGUUAAUGAGUUAUAUCACCAAACGCGUAUUUUUAAAUACAAGAGGGGAGAAAACUCCCUUUUACAUUCAACGUACGCUUGCAAUCAAAAUUUACAUCUUACGACAUGUCGCAACUAACAAUUUAGUAAAAAUAAUUUGUUGAUAUCUUAUACAGUCUUUGGAUAUAAGUGAAAAUAAGCCAAAUUCAAAUAUUAGAAUAUGACCUUGACCUUUGACCUUGACCUAAUUUUCAUUUUUUGGGACCAAGGACCUCAAAUCAAAAGAUCCUAGGUCUCUAUCACUUAUGAUUUAUAAGAUAGAAAUUCAUAUCACUUAUAUCAGAUGCAUAAGGGGAAAUAACUCUCAUAUGGAGCGGUCAUAUCGCUUCGGUCAAAAUAGGACAAAUCAUGCGAAGAUAUAACGAGCAAUUUUGUAAAAUAAAUUUGUCAUAAUCUUUUACGGUUGCGAAGAGAUGUGAUAACAAGGAAAACAGUGUUUGGGGAGAUAACUCCUACAAAGAAAAGUAUUCGUUUAUGCAGGGUAAAUUUCAAAAGCGCAUAAACUGUUCGAUAUCAUAUACAAAAUAUCUAAGCGACAUAUUGCGAAACAAAUGUUUAUCGCAAGAACAAAAUUAGGCGGAAGAAAAAAAAAAAAAUAGUCAGAAGAAAAACAAUAGGUCUUUCCACAGAAAAGUGGAAAGACCUAAUAAUAAUAAACAGAAGAAAUACAGUAAGGUCUUUCCCUUUUGUAAAAGGAAAGACCUUAAUAAUCAGAAGAAAACCAAUAGGUCUUUCCACGGAAAAGUGGAAAGACCUAAUAAUAAUAAUAAUCAGAAGAAAUCCAAUAGGUCUUUCCACGGAAAAGUGGAAAGACCUAAUAAUAAUAAU
rnacentral:lncRNA from 1 species